UUCUUACCCGCUUCAAGCAGUUCAGAGGAGAAACAGCCUUCGUACUCCCAGCGGAUCAUAGUCCUAACGGCCGCUCACCACACUCUUAGUGGCCUCUCCCUCAUUCCUCCCGCCGGCAUACCGGAACCGGGGCUCUAGGGAGAGCCUCAACCCCGCCUCCGUGUGUCUCAGCCAACCCUUGUGGCUGUCAACCCUUGUGGCUUUGAAGAUGGAAUAGAAGAAAGGAGCCAGGAGCCUAGGAAUGCAGAGAUUUCUAAAAGAUGGAAAAGGCAAGAACAUGGAUUUUUCCCUAAGGCCCCCAGAAGGAACACCAUCCUUGAUUUUAGCUCAGUGAGACCCAUGUCACCAAGUUUGUGGUAAUUUGUUACAGCAGCAAUAGAAAACUAAUACAGUACCAUUUCCAGUGCUUUUUGUGACAGUACACAGCAAUAAAAAGUUUAUCUAA